GCCCGCAUAGCUCAGUCGGUUAGAGCGGUGGUCUUAUGACUUCACCACAGAGGUGAAGGGUGAGCCGCAGGUCCUGGGUUCGAGCCCCAGUACGGGUA
rnacentral:tRNA from 1 species